rnacentral:rRNA from 1 species
CGGGGGGCAGCAGUUUCGAAUCGUUCACAAUGGGGGCAACCCUGAUGGCGCGACGCCGCGUGGGGGAUGAAGGUCUUCGGAUUGUAAACUCCUGUCAUUGGGGACUAACGGCCAGGCUCAUACCCUGGUUUGAAUUAACCCAAAGAGGAAGCAGUGGCUAACUCUGUGCCAGCAGCCGCGGUAAUACAGAGACUGCAAGCGUUACUCGGAUUCACUGGGCGUAAAGGGAGCGCAGGCGGACUAGUGUGUCAGGCGUGAAAUCCCGGGGCUCAACCCCGGGGCUGCGCCCGAAACUACUAGUCUAGAGACUUGGAGAGGUAAGCGGAAUUCUUGGUGGAGCAGUGAAAUGCGUAGAUAUCAAGAGGAACACCAACGGCGAAGGCAGCUUACUGGACAAGAUCUGACGCUCAGGCUCGAAAGCGUGGGGAGCAAAAGGGAUUAGAUACCCGAGU